CCAUUUUCCUACAAGGAGAAAAAAAGUUACUGACUUUUUGUUUUUGCUACUUUAUGCCACCCUUUCAAAGCCUACAAUGAGUCAGUUUCAUGGUUUAAACCUAAAAACGUGUGGAACAUUCCAGAAGUCUGUCUUUGCCCACUGCUUUGGUCACUCAUAGACCCACCUGAAGCUCUGGACUGUGUAAAAGGUAGGGCAGGGUGCAACCAGAGGGCCAGCCUGCACCUCCUACCCACCACAUUCUGAAGUCAUACCCACUUGUGUUAGUAGUCAUGGACAGUAUGUGAUUGAUUGCAGUCCUGAGUUGAGUGAUAGAGAAGUCACCUCGUCUCCUUUUUAGAUUAUGUGUGUGCAUGCAGGGAUGCAUGCCUGGUGGCAAGGAGAUCCCUGGGAGCUGCAGUUACAGGUGUUUGUGGGAUAUCUGGCUUGUUACAUGAAUGCUAGACUCUGAACUCUGGUCCUCAUGAUGGCACAGCAAGGGCUGAUUAACCCCUGACUCAUUUCUCCAGCCCCUGGUUUGGGGGUUUGAUUUUAAGACAGUCUCGCUUAGCCCAGGUUGGUGUCCAGCUCACUAUGUAGCCAAGGUUGACCUCCAACUCUUGCUGCACCUGCACCACCUUGCCUGGCUUGUCUUUGGGACCCUCGGUCAGGGAGCUGUUAGAAAGGCAGGGCCCAGCUGCCAUUCCUCAGGCUCACACCUGCAUGUUCUUCCACAGUGCUGGCUCCAGGGUUCCUGGGAUGGUCGUCUUCUUACCUGAAUCAGGGCUGGCCUCGGCAGGGCUAGAGAGAGGCCCCUCUUGCUGAGCCAUAUCAGACCUGAGACUCUCGCUUGACUCUCGAGACCCAGUUGCUGCAGAGCGGAUUCAUGUCCCCCCUGUGAGACGUCACUUCCCUUAGUUCAAAUCCAUGGAUCCCUGUGUCAGAGUAUACCAACCGGGUUCUAGGCUGAUUGACUGGGGGACACUGGGCUAGGGUUGGGUAAGGGACCAAACGUCUCUACCUCUCCUCACCUGGGCCAACUGGAUGACCAACCACCUUACUUGGCGCAUGUUCAAGGACAGCAAGAAAAAUGAGGGACUUUCAGGGGCAGCUGUGUUUUCUGACUCAGUCAUAAUGCCCCUAAAAAUCCUUAUUGUUCUUGCAGUGUGCAUCAGGCAGCUGUGGGCCAACCCAGCCCUCGCCCACCUGGCCCUUCCAGGCUGGAAAGAACUUGUGUUGUCAGAUUGGAACGUACCCUCUCCCCGAAAUGAGGAGGGAUGGGCACAUGCUGGUUGUUGAAACAGUUAGCGUGACUCCCACAUUAAAUUUGCAUACGUGUUCACUCUUUUGAGGGUGUGGGGAGGGCUGGGGGACAUUCCUGGGCUGCCCUGUUUCAUAUAAGGUUGUUGCGGGGAGGAAUAGUUGUCUUAUGGGAUCCAUCUCCCUCUCCUGUUUCCUGAGAAGUGGGGCAGGUACCUGGGCAGAAAUUUGCCUGUUUUUUUUUAAGCCUCGAGUGAAGAGACUCAGAGCCAGUGGCUAUGUUGAUCUGGGCAUUUCUCCUCUGCUGUGACCCCAGAACUUGCUUAUUCUUAGGUGGACAUUCUCCAGCCCCGUUACUGCAGAGACCAGCUCCAUGCUCAGCCAGUGCCUCCGCCCUACAUCUGUUUUGACUUGGGGGCCAUGCUCCUCUUCCCUAGCAUUACCAGGCCAGAGAGAUGUCACCAAAACUCAAAGCAGCAGUCUUGUGUGCCAGCUGAGGUGGCUUAUCCUCGGAUAAAUGAGUAAUAAGCAUCAUGGGACUUGUUACAGAAAGUCACUCAGUAUCUCAAGGACCUCACAUCAGCAAGGGACAGUCAUCUUCAAGAUGUCUUCAGGUCCCCAGGAGCCAGCUUGGAAGAUGGUGUUGGUGCUUGGUAGAUGCUGGACCACCAUGACUGCCCUGCUGGCCCUAGGUCUCUGGGCUCUGUGCCCCCAGCUCUGCUAGAGACUGCUGGCAUCUCACUACCAGGUAAGGGUUAGACAAGAUUUACUCUUGCAGGUGGAAGAUGAGUGAGGCUUUGGUGGACUGAGAUUCUCACACUUGGGAUGGACAAGGGCACCAGCUGUCCCAUUAGCUCUAACAGCUUUGCUGGGUUCUGCUAACUUCAGUCACCAUCUCCCCUGGAGCCUCUCUGCCCGUGCCAGUCCCUCCCCAAACCACCUUGCUCCUUCCCAUGGCCCUCAUUCUUAACCAAAGCAUUUGCAACAGGACAGGGCUCGGGGGGGGGGGUGGCUUGGUCAGUAAAGUGCUUGUCACAAGUUCCAUCCUGAGCACUACUCACCUGUGAUCUCAGGUGUCGAGGCAGAGACAGCUCUGAGGGGGACUGUCCAGCCACGCAGUCUAGCCAAAUGGAGGUUCAGUGGGAGAUCCUGUCAGAGAAUAAGAGCAGUUGAGGAAGGUACCUUGAGGUGGACCUCUGGCCUCCACACACAUGAACACACACACACACACUCACAAAGACAGUACAUCAGGUGGGUUUUUGUUUUUUCAGGUCAGGGUCUCACUAUGUAGAUCAGGCUGGCCUCCACCUCACCGAGAUCCACCUGCCUCUGCCUCCCUAGUGCUUUCAAAUACUGUAGACUAUUUGAAAACAUGUGCUGUCAAGUAUGCAUCAGAGGGAAGGAUGAGACUCAUAAGCACCCAAGCCUGAAUGUCUGUCGUGAGCCAAGCCUUCACACUUUCCUUCUGGCCCCACCCCAUUAACAGGAUGGGUACUUUUAUUUUUGGGGAAGAGGCAUACGCCAUGUUGCACACAUGGGGGUCAGAGGACUGCCUGUGGGUCUCCAGGGAUCAAACAGACCAUCAGGUUUGGUGGCAAGUGCCUUUCCUUGCUGAGCCAUCUUGCUGGUGCCUUUUAAAAAUGCAUUACUGUGUUCUCUUUUUGCCUUCAUAUGGGUUCCUGGGAUUGAACUCAGGACCUUACUGGGCAAGUACCUUUGAACCAGAGGGGGGCCGUUUUAUGGGAGCCAGGCCUCUCACCCAGUAAGCCACAGGCCUGUGCCUUCAGGAGCCUGGAUUUCUUUUUUUUUCCAAGGAGGAUAUGGAUAUGCCUGGCCACUGCUGCCUUUCAGCCAGGAACUCAGAGAUCUUACAGUCUUGCUGGAGGGAGUCUGAGGUGAGGUCCCCCAUGAGGCUAUCCUUGACCUACAGCUCUGUCAGGCUUUUUGACCCUUGAAUCACUUAAGGCAAUGGUUCUCAACCUUCUGCAUGCUGCAAUCCUUUAAAUAGAGUUCCCCAUAUUGUAAUGACCCCAACCAUAAAAUUAUUUCAUUUCUAUUUCAUAACUAUAAACUUGCUACUGUUAUAAAUCAUAAUGUAAAUAGGCAGGAUAUCUGAUAUAUGGCCCCUAAAAGGGUUGCAACCCACAGGUUGAGAAAAGCCAACUUAAGGAGUGUUAAGGGUGUCUGUUAACACAAACUAGAUCAGAGUUGUAGGGAUCAAGACAAACCUGAGGUGGGUGCCUUGACUUGCUGUUGGCUUUUUCUUGCAUGCCUUUGUGUUUUAUUUAGCAGCCAGGAGGAACUAUCAGGCUACAAGCCCACCAGAGGCGAUAGAAGACAUUCCCUCCAUCUCUGUGGAGAACCCCUUGGAGGAUGGGACCACUUGCAUCUGGCAGGCAAAGGUGAUUAGGGAAUCUACUGAGGACCCAGCACGGAAAUGACAGAGCCAGGAUUCACAUCUGCAGUUCUGACUCCAAGGAGGACACUUGAGCCGGGAACGCUGGUUCCUUGGAGAUAGUUGCACUGCCUGACACUGAGGUGACAUUUGGGUCUUCACAUGAUGGCUGGUGUCUUCUGCCACUGAUCCUGCAAGAUUAUCUUUCCUGACAGUUCUUCUCUGGACUCUGUCCCUGGCUGAACUGGAGGCCGUUGGCUCUGGGUUGAGCUGUAGUCCUUGCCUUUGUCCUGGAUUCCCUGAGGUUUGGGUCACAAAAGUCCAGCACAUAAGGAGGUAUCCUUCCCUUGGGAGUUUCAAGUUUCCACAGCUGCAGGACUCUGCCUUAGGCCAUGGCUUCUACACAGCUCCCCCUUGCCCUGCCAGAUGUCUUGGGGUCAGACACCCAGCAGCUUCUUUCUGGUUUACCUGACUGCUAGAAGCAGGACUCCCCUGACACUUUUUUUUUGGUCCUGGAGUUUAGACUCAGGACUUUAGACAUACUAGAAAAGUACUAUACCACUGGGGUACAUGCCCAGGCCUUUUUUGAUUUGAGACAAAAUCUUGCUAUGUGGUCCACCUUGGGCUUGAACUCAUAACCCUUUUGCCUCUAUCUCCGGAGUCCUAGCAUUAUAACUGUGUACCACCGUGCCCAUCUGAAUUUUCUGUUUUGACUCUUGUGUCAGCAAAGCAACCUUGAAUGGAAGUAGAGUCCAUUCCUGAUGGCUUGGCCAUUGCAGAGCUGUCUAGACAGGAAUGGAUAAGUGGAAGGACGAGUAGCUGUCAGUUUUCCAAGGACCUUGUUUCUAUUGAUAUAUUGUUCCUUCAAAGGUGACCCUUUAAUCUGUGUCACCAGGGUUCAAGCAGGGCCAGCCAUACCCCCUGGUUUCAGAGGAAGGCAUGUGUUCCAGGCCUGGGCAAGGACUGCAGAGUUCCCCCUCACACCCACAUUGGACUUCAGCUGCAUCUUUUCAUGGGAGUUAAGUUGACAAGAUGUCAGCUUGGAAUUGCUGGUGGCCAACUUAUGCAGCUGAUGAUGAAGCCAACAAAGAAGAAAGAAAACAAAGAUUAUGCUGUGUGGACUUGUUCUUUCUAUCCAACAAGCCCCUGGAUCGAGUCAUGCCUGAAGCCAACACUUGGACUAACCUGAUUAUAUGAGUCAAUGUUUUUUCUGUUGUUGUUUUUUCUAAAAGAAACUCAUUUUGGAUUUGCGUUACAGAAUGGCUCCUUGUACAGGCAAUGGUUGUUUACCUUUCUUGGAAUAGCAUUGUUGAGAUGUUCUUUCUUUACAUGCAACAAAAUUCGCCAGUUCUAAGUGUACAAUUCCUAGUCUUUUUCAGGAACAUAUACCCUUGUAACCAUCACCAUCAGAUUGGAAUAUUGCUUACCUGCCCUGAAAAGUUCCAUCCAAGCUCUUGAUGGUCAGUUUUUUAUCUGGAUGGUCACAUGGUUUCUCCUAGUGUGUUUUUCUGAUUCAUUCCUCCAUGCACAUUAGGGUCCAUCUACUCCGUUGUAGGCUGGGCAGCAUCACACCCUGUGGUCACACCACUAUUUCUUUAUCCAUCUGGUGUACAAUGAUUGAUAUGAAUAAAGCUGUUUUGCAUGUUCA